rnacentral:lncRNA from 1 species
AUGGGGUCCUGUUAUACCAUGAGAAAGAAAACCUUUAUUUCAACAGGCAACAACUUAGUAAGGAAACUCCAGGAAUGUUUUUUUGAUUUUAUUUAUUUAUUUAUUUAUUUUCCCUAGCAGACCUAUAAACACAUUUGGGUAGAAGGGCAAAGGCUGGGUUCCUGCCCUCCUCAUCUCAGCUGUCCAUGGGGACUUGUCAGAUUUGUUGCCAUCACGUCAGCAGGGCAGGAGGCAGCUAAAAUCAGCUUCCUGCCAUAAGGGAAUACGCGGCAGAUGGCACUGUUUCUUUAGCAGUCUGCACCAGCCUCCUUUUCCCUUUGUGGGAAGUUCCAGGACGAUUUUCUUAAAGAACAUAUGUGGUUUGGUCUCGAGGUGCCUGGCCACCUGCCUGGAAACCAAAGCACACCAUUUGGCACCAUUUGUGCAAAAAGAGAGUUCAGUGCUUCAGAUGGGGAAGGCUCAGGAUUUCACCUCUGUGAAGGAAAAGAUGUGGUACAUCAUGUUUUGAAGAACAUAAGCAGAUUUGACAGAAGUCUGGAACUAAGGAUGUGCUUUCAUGGAAAUGGAAAUUUAAGGCUGCAUGGAUUUCACUCCCAUCUCUUAAGCAACCAUCUUGGACCAUCUUCUUUUGGAAGAGACACCCACCAUAUGUACAUUCAUUGUCAACAGUUUGGAUUCUGA